UACGAAGGUCCCAAGCGUUAUCCGGAUUUAUUGGGUUUAAAGGGUGCGUAGGCGGCCUAUUAAGUCAGGGGUGAAAGACGGUAGCUUAACUAUCGCAGUGCCUUUGAUACUGAUGGGCUUGAAUACACUAGAGGUAGGCGGAAUGUGACAAGUAGCGGUGAAAUGCAUAGAUAUGUCACAGAACACCAAUUGCGAAGGCAGCUUACUAUGGUGCAAUUGACGCUGAGGCACGAAAGCGUGGGGAUCAAACAGG
rnacentral:rRNA from 1 species